GCCCAGCUGGCUCAGUUGGUAGAGCAUGCAACUCUUGAUUUGGGGUUGUAAGUUCGAGCCCCACGUUGGGUG
rnacentral:tRNA from 1 species